ensembl:lncRNA
GCUGCUGCUGCUGCAGCUAAGUCGCUUCAGUCGUGUCCGACUCUGUGACCCCAUAGACGGCAGCCCACCAGGCUCCCCCAUCCCUGGGGUUCUCCAGGCAAGAACACUGGAGUGGGUUGCCAUUUCCUUCUCCAACUCAUCCCAGUUAGCUCUAUCUAACCCCACCUGGCACGAAAUGAAGGGACGCUACAAUUGCCGAUAGCAGAGGACUUGGGAUUCCACGCUUGGCGGGCUGCUGGAUCGCUGUCAGCGUGGAGAAACACAUUGAGCCCGUGCAACAAAGGAUGGCGUGGUACCAGGAGAACGGAAAUGACAGGGACCGGAACAGUUUUUGAUGCCAACAGUUUAUAUUUGAUCUCCAGAUGCAAUACAGCUGACAGCUAAUUAGUUUCACUUAGAUCUACCCAGAUCUUCGCUUUUUUUUUCCCCCCACACAUGCUGUGGAUAUGCUAGUGUGAAAAUGUGUCUGCCUGGGGUUGCUCUUUGAUUGAGAAUUCUCUGGAAUGAACACCCUUGGAAUCCCUGAGGAGUCUGGAGCCCCAGCACGUGGACCAUCUGGUGAAGACAGUCUUUCUGUCUCCAGCUUGGCCCAAGAGCAGGCACUCAGUUUCAUCAGAACCGUGGAUGGGUUCAGAGAGACUGACAUAGAUCAUCUCCAUUCUCCCUCACAGCAUUUUCCAAAGGACAAGAUGUGUCUUGAAGAGAACGACUAGACUUCAGAUUCAGCACCUUUUAUGGGCAGCAGUGUCUUCCCUCCUACCUCCUGGAAAUUCCAAAUUACACAUACAGGG